rnacentral:lncRNA from 1 species
ACACCUGCUGGUCAGAUCACAGCAUUGCACCCUCAGUGUGUUAUUCUACAUUUAAAGCGAAAGUGAAAGCUUUCAAGGCCUAAACAUUGUAUUUCCUGUCAGUGUCAGACGCUAGUGCAUCUCGGAACAGCAUCUAUUCGAUUAUAAACAGUAAGUUGACUUAAAUUACGAAAUGCUUUUAAAUAAUUGAAGAUAUUCUGAAGCUGCAAUCGACGUGUUAGCUGAAUAGUUUCAAACAAUAUGACUGAAAAAAGCCUGAAUAUAUUUCUCCCUGUGGUGAUUGUGUUGCAUCUUCGUAUUACAUUUACUUUUGUAAAACCAUUUAAAAACCUUCAGGGUUAUUGGAAAAGUUGAUGAUGACGUGGACCCUCGUGUGGUAACAGUAGCUUUACCUCCUCAUUGUUUGGGGUCUCACCAACGUCACUAUUAGACAUAAAGCUUAACCAAAUAAGGCCAUAUUUCAUGUUUUGUAUAUGAACUAUAUGCAUCAACAACUACAUAUAUCAUAAUCAUUCACGGACAAAGAAAUGCAAAGUUAUCCUGCACAGUAUGUUUGGGGCAAUCAGACCCUGAAGAGGUCUAAACAUUCUGUUAAACCUCUCAUAGAGUAGAAAUCCUGUCAACACCAAUCCCAGAUAUGGAGCAUGUGAGAGCUUUGUUCUUUUCUCAGUUCAUCCAUUGUGUUUGUAAGAUGUUGUCAUGAAAUAAGGAAUAGUAACCAAAAGUAUCACGCUGAUAAAAUGGUGUAAAGUGUGUAUUUUGAGUUGGUAAAGAGGGCGCCGGGUCUCCAGGACCCCAAACAGAUCAUUAGGUUUAAGUUAAACUUACAAUGUGAGUCAUUUUCUGUCUUUCAGGAAAAAUGACAAACAUCUACUCGCACAAAGCCGGAGAAACUCGGGGAUGUCAUGAGGCCUUUCUUCAAGAGCUCACCAAAAAAGGUGCAACGGUAGUGAACUCGCCCGGCGAGAGUCAUGUGAUCAUAGUCUUCUGCCCCAUUGUCAGUCGUUAUGAAACUGACAUUAACGCAGCGUUAUCCAGCAUCCCGGAAUCAGCACCCGAGGAAGUGAUUCUGGUGACGAUGCAUCACACGUUUGACAAGAACUACACCCUCCCAAACUACCGAGAUCAGGGCGGCCGUGCGGUCGCACUCCAUGUGGACUGCCUGUUCUUUGAGACCGAAAGGACUUUUAAAAUGCCAAUGCAAUAACAAAGCAAUCGAGAUGGUCUGCAAAAAGCUGCUUCUCGGGAAGUAUUCUGAAGAUAAGGGAUGUAUGGCGGUAAUCUGUGGAUGUAUGGCGUGAAAGUAAGGAUGAGAAAAAUAAAAGAAUUAAUUGAGAGAGAAAACAAAUGUUGUACCUGCUUUGCUGAUCGUCGUCUGUUCUUAAGGUGAUUAUUACCUAAUAAAUACAAUUAAAAAACAACUCACAUUAGCCUCAGCUAGCCGCUCUUUAACUUCACUCCUGGUUCUGAUGCGUGUACAUUAACGUGUUUGCUAAUGAAUUCUGUAGUUUAAAUGUGCUGCCUGUUGUUACACUAUAUGACAUAUAUGAUAUGCAGUGUGCUUAUGGGACAUUCUUUCUGCCAAAGUAUAAACUUAUUAAGAAUGUAGGUUAUGGGUGGAGGCUCCUGCAGUGACAUCGAUCCCGUUAAAUAUUCACUUCUUUAUAACAUUUUAAAUCAACUCUGUACUAACACUACUUUCACUGUAUUUUAUUCUAUUUAAUUGUGUACUCUCCACUUUACUGUCUUGUUCUUUUGCGGUAACGACGUACAUUUCCCCCGUUGUGGGACCAAUAAAGCAUUCCUGAUUCUGAAUCAUCUUUCGUAACACUCUUUCUCUGCUGGUCACUGUGAAGCAUCGUAUGCUUGGAGCUGUGUGUAGGUUAUUAGCCCAGAUGCAAAAGGUCUGCACAUGUUGUGACUCCCACACAUAUAAAAUACUUAUAAAAGAGAAAAGUGCUC